UGACACUGAUCAUGGACAGACACCU
rnacentral:piRNA from 1 species